rnacentral:rRNA from 1 species
GGCGAGUGGCGAACGGGUGAGUAAAAUAUCGGAACGUACCCAGGAGUGGGGGAUAACGUAGCGAAAGUUACGCUAAUACCGCAUACGUCCUAAGGGAGAAAGUGGGGGAUCGCAAGACCUCAUGCUCAUGGAGCGGCCGAUAUCUGAUUAGCUAGUUGGUGGGGUAAAGGCCUACCAAGGCAUCGAUCAGUAGCUGGUCUGAGAGGACGACCAGCCACACUGGAACUGAGACACGGUCCAGACUCCUACGGGAGG